GGGUUUAACUAUCAACUCUAUAAUAGUCAUCCAUAUUGUAUUUUAAUUUUUUAAAUCCAUCACAUGGAUUAUCCAGAUCUAGAUUUUACUAAAUUAAAAUACAUUGAUGCAUUAACUCCUACUAAUUCAGAGGGGUCAAUCUCAUCUUGACUUAUGCACCGACUUGACAAGUACUUGACUACACUCAAAAAUCUUUUAUCACUGAAUUAGAAAUUCAGAUAGUCUGGUACUAAAGUACAGUGAG
rnacentral:lncRNA from 1 species